rnacentral:rRNA from 1 species
UACGUAGGUGGCAAGCGUUAUCCGGAUUUACUGGGUGUAAAGGGCGUGUAGGCGGGAUGGUAAGUCAGAUGUGAAAACUAUGGGCUCAACCCAUAGCCUGCAUUUGAAACUAUCGUUCUUGAGUGUUGGAGAGGCAGGCGGAAUUCCGUGUGUAGCGGUGAAAUGCAUAGAUAUCACGCAGAACGCCGAUUGCGAAGGCAGCUUACCGGCGCUCAACUGACGCUGAGGCACGAAAGUGCGGGUAUCGAACAGG